rnacentral:rRNA from 1 species
GACGAACCAUGCAAACGUUAUUCGGAUUCACUGGGCUUAAAGCGUGCGUAGGCGGUCUUGUUAGUCAGGUGUGAAAGCCCUCAGCCUAACUGAGGAAUUGCGCUUGAUACUGCAUGACUAGAGAAUGAUAGAGGUGGGUGGAACUGAUGGUGGAGCGGUGAAAUGCGUUGAUAUCAUCAGGAACACCAGUGGCGAAGGCGACCCACUGGGUCAUUUCUGACGCUGAGGCACGAAAGCUAGGGUAGCGAACGGG